rnacentral:rRNA from 1 species
UACGGAGGGUGCAAGCGUUAUUCGGAUUCACUGGGCUUAAAGGGUGCGUAGGCGGGCAGGUAAGUCAGUGGUGAAAUCUCCGGGCUUAACUCGGAAACUGCCAUUGAUACUAUCUUUCUUGAAUACCGUGGAGGUCAGCGGAAUAUGUCAUGUAGCGGUGAAAUGCUUAGAUAUGACAUAGAACACCAAUUGCGAAGGCAGCUGGCUACACGAAUAUUGACACUGAUGCACGAAAGCGUGGGGAUCAAACAGG